GACGAACGCUGGCGGCGUGCCUAAUACAUGCAAGUCGAGCGGACGAAUCGAAAGCUUGCUUUUGAUUCGUUAGCGGCGGACGGGUGAGUAACACGUGGGCAACCUGCCCUGUAGACGGGGAUAACACCGAGAAAUCGGUGCUAAUACCGGAUAACACGAAAUGUCGCAUGACGUUUCGUUGAAAGACGGCGCAAGCUGUCGCUACAGGAUGGGCCCGCGGCGCAUUAGCUAGUUGGUGAGGUAACGGCUCACCAAGGCGACGAUGCGUAGCCGACCUGAGAGGGUGAUCGGCCACACUGGGACUGAGACACGGCCCAGACUCCUACGGGAGGCAGCAGUAGGGAAUCUUCCGCAAUGGACGAAAGUCUGGCGGAGCAACGCCGCGUGAGCGAAGAAGGCCUUCGGGUCGUAAAGCUCUGUUGUUAGGGAAGAACAAGUAACGCAGUAACUGGCGUUACCGUGACGGUACCUAACGAGAAAGCCACGGCUAACUACGUG
rnacentral:rRNA from 1 species